GAAGGAGGAGCUUGCUUCUCCGGAUGAGUUGCGAACGGGUGAGUAACGCGUAGGUAACCUGCCUGGUAGCGGGGGAUAACUAUUGGAAACGAUAGCUAAUACCGCAUAAGAGUAGAUGUUGCAUGACAUUUGCUUAAAAGGUGCAAUUGCAUCACUACCAGAUGGACCUGCGUUGUAUUAGCUAGUUGGUGGGGUAACGGCUCACCAAGGCGACGAUACAUAGCCGACCUGAGAGGGUGAUCGGCCACACUGGGACUGAGACACGGCCCAGACUCCUACGGGAGGCAGCAGUAGGGAAUCUUCGGCAAUGGACGGAAGUCUGACCGAGCAACGCCGCGUGAGUGAAGAAGGUUUUCGGAUCGUAAAGCUCUGUUGUAAGAGAAGAACGAG
rnacentral:rRNA from 1 species